rnacentral:lncRNA from 1 species
GUGUGCGCAACUGCAGGAUGAGUUAGAGGACCUGCGGUCACACAUGACCUCUAUCACAAAGGAGAGAGACCAACUCCUGGAGGAAGUGGGGGUCCUGCAAGAGGAGGUGUCUCACUUUAGGAGACUGCUGCAGGAGAGUGAGAUGGCAGCUGUGCUCCAGCAGUGCUUGGACCUGGAGCAACCAUCCCAGGACAAGGGAGAACAGCCUGAGCUUCAACAGCAGAUUCAGCGACUGGGUGAGGAGCUUUACAGUGUAAAGGCAGAGAAGGAGCACCUGCAGGCCCGGCUGGAGGUCCGUGGCACUGUGGCAAACAUCGGAAACUGGGGCCCUUGGCCCUCUCAUCAUCCCUGUUUCUCAUGCCAUUAAAAGCAAUUUCCUGCGCAGUUGCUCAUAGGUGCGAGUCCAGAGGAGGUGGCUCUGCUUGAGCUGAGGAGGAGCAGUGUUGACCGUGGAGAACGGCGGCUGAGGAGCAGGCUGGAGCAGGCCAGGUCACAGCUGGAGGUACCUGAGUGCCACUUUGACUCUUUAUGGACUUCCUGGUAUCUGAAUCGAGGACCAUCUGCUGAUCAGUGAGCUCUAAGUGGACCUGCAGCGUCUGCUCUUGAGGAAAGCUUUUAUGCCCAUUGUAGGCUGCUGUUGCUCACUUUCGCCGAUCAGUAAGUAGAUGAACAGUGUAUGUGGCUCUAGGAGGAACGGAUCAACACUGAAAGGGAGGGGUUUUUUUUCUUUUUUUUAAAAAGAACCUGACCAAUAAUUUGAGAUGUCAACGUUAGCAACUUUUUACCUCUACAUCCGAAACAAUAAAAACAAGUUAUAUGUAAAAAAAAAAAAAAAAAAAAAAAAAAAUCUCUCUGCACAGUAGUGUGGCCUUCCCAAUUUCCAUCUUGCACCAGAAUGCUGUGGUUCUGACUUACUCAUUUCAUCAGGCGAUGCAGCAAAGCCUGGUAGCGCUAGAGGAGGCCCGUGCUGAAGCUGAGCACCAGGUCUCCACCCACAAGGAGGCGAUGCACCUCCUGCAGACAGAGCUCCAGGAGACUUGUGCCCAGCUGGAGCUGAAGAACACCACCAUUCGAGCUCUCGAGCAAAAACUGGCACAGGUGUGUGGAGCAUUGGGGCUGCAGAAGCCAAGGAGCCCAGAUUUCCAGAUGGAUCUGGAGAGGGCGGAUUUGUCCUCCUGCCAUCAGGAAGAGCUGGUGAAGCCAAUGGCUCUGGACCACCGAGAGGAGACUGUAUGGUCAGUGACGGAGGUCCUGGUCAGGCCACGGAAACCAGCUGACAAGUCCAUUGUGGAGACCAGCAGAGGGCGCACUGUCCUCAGCCCAUUGCUGACAGAGCGAGACGAGGUGAAACAGCUGAAGAGUGAUGUUCAUGAGAGUCAUGUGGCCGACCAGCGAGGACAAGCUGCCAAGUGGAGGCGGCGAGCCACAAAAUUGAAGGAGAACCGUAGCGAGAUGUCCCCCCACACGACACCCACUAGGAGGCGCUGCCUCAUCCUUUCUGAGGGCCACUUUUUCGAGUCGCCGAAGAGCAAGUUCUUUGAUGUACGUCACAACGCGGUGCACCUCAACCGCCCCCGGCAGUUCUUCGACAAUUCCAGCUUGGGGACCAUUCCCGGUACGGUGGG